rnacentral:lncRNA from 12 species
CUAAACUAAGACAGGCAAGAAGCUAAGGGUGAUCUGCUGCCGAAAGCUUGUGGGCAUACUUCUACCUUUGGCACAGAGGAAGGAAGGGCAGUGUGCUCCUGGGAAGGCCAGGGUGGAGCUGGAAGUCUGAUCUUAUGUCAUGAAUUCAGCUGGAGUGAAGAAACCCAUCCGCGCCUAAAAUGGUUGCUGUCAUGAGGUACACCCUCAGCGGAAAAACAAGCCCAGAGAAGGAAAGUCAUUCGCCUCAAGUCACAAAACUCUUCGAUGGAAAACGUAAAUGAGGACUCUAGUCAAGGACACUUUCUCCUCCUCAGCCAUAAUUGAGUAUCCAAGACCAGAUUUGUUCUUCACAACAAGAAGGAAAAAAAAGGGAAGAAUUCACACAUUCAACAGCCAUAAAAAAGAACCAGUUAUUCAUAUAUGGAGAACAUCUUGAAGACAAGGAAAGAACCGAGACACAAAAGAAUACAUAAAUACUACGUGCUCUCAUUUAUGUGAUAUUCUAUAUUUGCACUAUCCGACAUAGUAGCCACUAGCCAUAUGUGACUACGUUUAAGUUGAUUAAAAUUCAAUAAAAAUAAAAUAAAAAUGUAUUCCCCCA